GAUGAACGCUGGCGGCGUGCCUAAUACAUGCAAGUCGAGCGAACAGACGAGGAGCUUGCUCCUCUGACGUUAGCGGCGGACGGGUGAGUAACACGUGGAUAACCUACCUAUAAGACUGGGAUAACUUCGGGAAACCGGAGCUAAUACCGGAUAACAUGUUGAACCGCAUGGUUCAACAGUGAAAGACGGUCUUGCUGUCACUUAUAGAUGGAUCCGCGCCGCAUUAGCUAGUUGGUAAGGUAACGGCUUACCAAGGCAACGAUGCGUAGCCGACCUGAGAGGGUGAUCGGCCACACUGGAACUGAGACACGGUCCAGACUCCUACGGGAGGCAGCAGUAGGGAAUCUUCCGCAAUGGGCGAAAUCCUGACGGAGCAACGCCGCGUGAGUGAAGAAGGUCUUCGGAUCGUAAAGCUCUGUUAUUAGGGAAGAACAAAUGUGUAAGUAACUAUGCACGUCUUGACGGUACCUAAUCAGAAAGCCACGGCUAACUACGUG
rnacentral:rRNA from 1 species